UCCGGUUUGACACCGGCAGUCCCCUUAGAGUCCUCGGCAUAACCCGUUAGUAACUAAGGGCAAAGGUUUCGCUCGUUAAGGGACUUAACCCGACAUCUCACGACACGAGCUGACGACAGCCAUGCAGCACCUGUACUUGUUGUACCCCGAAGGGCCUACUCCACUUUCAUGGAGGUAAUCCAAGCAUGUCAAACCCAGGUAAGGUUCUGCGCGUUGCUUCGAAUUGAACCACAUGCUCCACCGCUUGUGUGAGCCCCCGUCAAUUUCUUUGAGUUUUAGCCUUGCGACCGUACUUCCCAGGCGGUCGACUUAGCACUUUUGCUUCGACCGUAAUACCGUCAGAGGCACUACGAUCUAGUCGACAUCGUUUACGGCCAGGACUAC
rnacentral:misc_RNA from 1 species